rnacentral:rRNA from 1 species
GAUGAACGCUAGCGGCAGGCUUAACACAUGCAAGUCGAGGGGUAUAGUUCUUCGGAGCUAGAGACCGGCGCACGGGUGCGUAACGCGCAUGCAAUCUACCUUUUGCAGAGGGAUAGCCCAGAGAAAUUUGGAUUAAUACCUCAUAGUAUGUGAGAAUGGCAUCAUUUUCACAUUAAAGUCACAACGGCAAAAGAUGAGCAUGCGUCCCAUUAGCUUGUUGGUAAGGUAACGGCUUACCAAGGCAACGAUGGGUAGGGGUCCGUAGAGGGAGAUCCCCCACACUGGUACUGAGACACGGACCAGACUCCUACGGGAGGCAGCAGUGAGGAAUAUUGGACAAUGGGCGCAAGCCUGAUCCAGCCAUGCCGCGUGCAGGAUGACGGUCCUAUGGAUUGUAAACUGCUUUUGUACAGGAAGAAACACUGGUUCGUGAACCAGCUUGACGGUACUGUAAGAAUAAGGAUCGGCUAACUCCGUGCCAGCAGCCGCCGUAAAAC